AACAGUAUUUAAUAAUUCAAAGAACAUUCAUGAAACAUGACAGGCUGGAAAUCAUGCAGCUGGCCAACAUUUCUGUCCAAUUAAGAGAUCAAACACAUGCAAUCUACAAGCCCUGCAGGGGCCUCAGUUUACAUCUCAGGAACUUGAUUCUUGUGAGGCUUGGAUUGCGUAAAUAGAAAGAGAAAGAAACGGUGAUAGAGAGAAUGAGUAAUACCAGACAUGAAGUAAAAGCUUCUGUGUUACAAAGUCUGCAGAAGCUACUCAUGAUUCACAGGGGCACCGAGGUGUGGUAAACAGUCCGAUAAACGUAAGAGCUAAAGAAUGUGAGUGGAAGUACCUCGAGCUGAGUGGGAGUGAAUAAGACAGUGGGAGGGAGCAAAAAGUGGAGGUGUGGCGUUUCAUUCUGUCACUGUUGUAGCUAAGCAGUUUAAAACAGUUCUUUCAUACUCUGCCUCCUCUAAGGUCGAAACUGGAGCUAAAGAAGCUAUAUAGUUCACAUACAUAACUGACAAUAAGAGGAAGUUUGGAUGGGAAGUCGUCUCGAAUCAAGUUGUGACAUCGACAUGUGACAUCUUUGUCAAAGGACACUAGAACUUCUGUCACUACAUAAACUGAAAGAAUAAUUAGUAGAGUAUUGAUCACCAGCCAGUUUCUACCCACACCAAAACACCAAACUUAUUUGGUUAUUAAGUACCUUUGGAUCUCUGGUCAACCUGAGGAAUUUUGGACCCUUCUUCUCUCAAGAUCAAGUCUGGGCGAGUCUAAAUGUGCGCAAACGAACUAGAAGAAGUGAAAGUUGAGGAUGCUUUACUUGAACGGCCUGAGACGAGGUCUGACUCGCACAGUAUCACCUGUCAUGACAUCUGUAAGGACACAGACCAUCGUAAACUAGCCAUUUGCAGCAUCAUAUGUGGCCUCUCCUGCUUUGGAAUUAUAUCCCUCAAGUACUCUGUCAAGGCUCGAGAGAUGAAAAAAAGACUUAAAAAUGAAGAUUGUCCACAAACACGAAAGAAGGUUAAGAAGUACUCAGAAAAGGCGUGUAAAUGGGGAAUUGGGUCCAUUGUAGCCUGGGUGGUUUUAAUUCUCAUCUUUCCAUUGCUUGUGGGAUUUGUGUCCUUUGUCGUAACCUUCAUGGACUGACACUGAAGAAACUUUUCUACAGUUGUACAACUGUAGGAGUGCAGAAACAGACUCUUUCAGUGCUCACAUUGGACACUGCAUCUAGACCAUCCAAAAAUUUCACUUGACGACAACAGGUUGGGCAUUAAUGGUCAGUAUUUAAAUUCUCUGUUUUGGAAGAUGCUUGUCUUUAGUUUGGAUCAAAGGUCCACAACUUUCUACCUAUAACAUAAGAGGAUUCAACAGUUUGCAUAAAGGACUAAACAUAACUUGUAUGCCUUCUGGUAGUAGCAAAACACACUGGAUUGUAUUAGUGACAUACUUAAAUCACUGCAAUUAAAGAAUUUGUUAUACAGUAGUCAACAUUCAAAGUGGAUCAAAACCUUUCAUCAAAGUUGUCCUAAAAGCAAAAUGCUUUCUUGAACUUUUUUGAUCCACUUCAAAUGUUGACUACUGUGUGCGUGAGAUGGAGCCAUGCAUAAAACCAUCAGCACUGUCCAGACAGAAGCUACUUUUACACUUCGGAAAGCUGAUUUUAUUUAUGCUCUUAAUUGGAAAUGAAACAUUGAGACACUCACAGAGAGCAUGACAGUCAAAUGUUGAGAUAUGGAUGUGGUUACAUUAUUAACAAUCUGUUCCUGUAAAUACAUUGUACUGUUUCAAUACGUUGUGCUUUUGAUGUUUUGUACACUGCCUGUAUUUCAGCCUUUGUAAUAAAAUGUGUAACAGUCAAAAUG